UACGUAGGGACCGAGCGUUGUCCGGAAUCAUUGGGCGUAAAGAGCGUGUAGGCGGCCACUUAAGUCCUGCGUGAAAUCUUGCGGCUCAACCGCAAGCGGUCGUGGGAAACUGGGUGGCUAGAGUGCGGGAGAGGAGAGUGGAAUUCCUGGGUGUAGCGGUGGAAUGCGCAGAUAUCAGGAAGAACACCCGUGGCGAAGGCGCUCUCUGGAACGCAACUGACGCUGAGACGCGAAAGCGUGGGGGAGCAAACAGG
rnacentral:rRNA from 1 species